AUUGAACGCUGGCGGCAUGCCUUACACAUGCAAGUCGAACGGCAGCACGGGGGCAACCCUGGUGGCGAGUGGCGAACGGGUGAGUAAAGCAUCGGAACGUGCCCAGUAGUGGGGGAUAGCUCGGCGAAAGCCGGAUUAAUACCGCAUACGACCUACGGGUGAAAGCGGGGGACCGAAAGGCCUCGCGCUAUUGGAGCGGCCGAUGUCAGAUUAGGUAGUUGGUGGGGUAAAGGCCUACCAAGCCGACGAUCUGUAGCUGGUCUGAGAGGACGACCAGCCACACUGGGACUGAGACACAGCCCAGACUCCUACGGGAGGCAGCAGUGGGGAAUUUUGGACAAUGGGCGAAAGCCUGAUCCAGCCAUGCCGCGUGCGGGAAGAAGGCCUUCGGGUUGUAAACCGCUUUUGUCAGGGAAGAAAUAUUCCGGGCUAAUACCCCGGGAGGAUGACGGUACCUGAAGAAUAAGCACCGGCUAACUACGUGCCAGCCGCCGCCGUAA
rnacentral:rRNA from 1 species